GCAACCUCCCACUGGUUUGGCCAUUCACCACAACAUAGACGAGGGAAUCAAAAUUCAAGGUUUUCCACCUGUAUUCCUCGUUCUCUAUUCCACCAUUCAAUUGAGAGGUAGAUCACAAAGGAAGAAGAAGUGUAUCUGAUCAGUAAAUCGGAAUGGCAAUGCACGGGAUGAGAGGGCUCACAAUUUUCAUUAGCGUUGUUCGGAAUUGCCAGAACAAAGAGCUAGAAUGCUUACGCGUCGAUAAAGAGCUCGACAACAUCCGUAAUCAAUUCAAAAAAGAAAAGAAAAUUUGCUUGUUUAUCCACCAGAACAUGUUAUCUUUGGAGACUAUGUCUAUGAGUUAUGGGAUGAGGAGACGAUAA